AGGUGGUGAAAAAUCUUUCUAAAAGUUUUGAGCUCCUACUUUGAGCAUAAUGCUUUCUGACUUCUAUGAUCUUAAUUUCAUCACCCUCUGAGCCUGUAGGGACGGCCUUCCAUGCAUCACACUUACCCUUCAAGAGAAUCAGAUAGGGGUGGCCAUGCUGCUCUGAUUGAAUGGUCAGUGGUGUCUGAACCACAACCUAGAAGAUGCUGAUGGAGCGUUGAGACCUCCCUUGCGUGGUCCUGCAGUGUGGUAAGGAGGAUGCUUGAACUUUAUGGAUUCUCAUUGAUUGCACCCAUGAAGUUUCCACAACUCUCUGUGUUACCUGAGGUGAAAAUUACAGCAACUGCAACAGCCUGACAAACAUUUCGGCUGAUAGCACUGACAACAUGACUUAGUGAUGUCUUCUCUCUUCCUUUGCUUCUCUGAAUGAAAAUAGCUGGAUAGGUCCAGAUGAACUAUUG
rnacentral:lncRNA from 1 species